UGAGGAAUAUUGGUCAAUGGGCGCAAGCCUGAACCAGCCAAGUAGCGUGCAGGAUGACGGCCCUAUGGGUUGUAAACUGCUUUUAUGCGGGGAUAAAGUGAGGGACGUGUCCCUCAUUGCGGGUACCGCAUGAAUAAGGACCGGCUAAUUCCGUGCCAGCAGCCGCGGUAAUACGGAAGGUCCAGGCGUUAUCCGGAUUUAUUGGGUUUAAAGGGAGCGUAGGCUGCCCCUCAAGCGUGUUGUGAAAUGUACCGGCUCAACCGGUGAAUUGCAGCGCGAACUGUGGGGCUUGAGUGUGCGGAAAGUAGGCGGAAUUCAUGGUGUAGCGGUGAAAUGCUUAGAUAUCAUGAAGAACUCCGAUUGCGAAGGCAGCUUACUGCAGCACAACUGACGCUGAGGCUCGAAAGUGCGGGUAUCGAACAG
rnacentral:rRNA from 1 species